rnacentral:precursor_RNA from 1 species
GCAGGGUCAGGCCUGGUUAAUGUUUGGCAUGGGAGACUGCCUGGGACUACCGGGUGCUGUAGGCUU